rnacentral:rRNA from 1 species
GACGAACGCUGGCGGCGUGCCUAACACAUGCAAGUCGAGCGAGGAGAGUUCCUUCGGGAACAAACCUAGCGGCGGACGGGUGAGUAACACGUGGCAACCUGCCUUGUAGAGGGAAUAGCCUUCCGAAAAGGAAGAUUAAUACCGCAUAACAUUACAGUUUCGCAUGAAACAGUAAUUAAAGGAGUAAUCCGCUACAAGAUGGGCCCGCGGCGCAUUAGCUAGUUGGUGAGGUAACGGCUCACCAAGGCAACGAUGCGUAGCCGACCUGAGAGGGUGAUCGGCCACAUUGGGACUGAGACACGGCCCAGACUCCUACGGGAGGCAGCAGUGGGGAAUAUUGCACAAUGGGGGAAACCCUGAUGCAGCAACGCCGCGUGAGUGAUGAAGGUUUUCGGAUCGUAAAGCUCUGUCUUCGGGGACGAUAAUGACGGUACCCGAGGAGGAAGCCACGGCUAACUACGUG